UACGAAGGGUGCAAGCGUUACUCGGAAUUACUGGGCGUAAGGCGUGCGUAGGUGGUUCGUUAAGUCUGAUGUGAAAGCCCUGGGCUCAACCUGGGAAUGGCAUUGGAAACUGGCGACCUAGAGUGCGGUAGAGGGUAGUGGAAUUCCCGGUGUAGCAGUGAAAUGCGUAGAGAUCGGGAUGAACAUCCGUGGCGAAGGCGACUACCUGGACCAGCACUGACACUGAGGCACGAAAGCGUGGGGAGCAAACAGG
rnacentral:rRNA from 1 species